UACAGAGGGUGCGAGCGUUGUCCGGAAUUACUGGGCGUAAAGGGCGCGUAGGCGGGCAGGUAAGUCAGUGGUGAAAUCCUAGAGCUUAACUCUAGAACUGCCAUUGAUACUAUCUGUCUUGAAUAUUGUGGAGGUAAGCGGAAUAUGUCAUGUAGCGGUGAAAUGCUUAGAUAUGACAUAGAACACCUAUUGCGAAGGCAGCUUACUACGCAUAUAUUGACGCUGAGGCACGAAAGCGUGGGGAUCAAACAGG
rnacentral:rRNA from 1 species